AUUUUGUGGUGGGGGAAAAGCCUAAGAAUCUCUUUAAACAUUUAUCAAGCCUCAUAUAGAGAUUCUUCAUUUCUAUGUUUAAAUCUCGUUAUUUGAUUUCUAAGCUU